ACCAUCCUUAUCUCGGGGAGCAUAAUGCAUCAAUGAAGGCUACUGAGAUCAUUUUGCUGACACCUUGUAUAUUAAAAUCUCACCGCUUUAGGUGAAAUAUUUGGAAGC
rnacentral:ncRNA from 1 species